UACGUAGGGGGCAAGCGUUGUCCGGAAUCAUUGGGCGUAAAGGGCGCGUAGGCGGCAAUUCAAGUCAUCUGUGAAAUCUCCGGGCUUAACUCGGAACGGUCAGAUGAUACUGCUUUGCUAGAGUACAGAAGGGGCAAUCGGAAUUCUUGGUGUAGCGGUGAAAUGCGUAGAUAUCAAGAGGAACACCUGAGGUGAAGACGGGUUGCUGGGCUGAUACUGACGCUGAGGCGCGAAAGCUAGGGUAGCAAACGGG
rnacentral:rRNA from 1 species